GAACGCUGGCGGCGUGCUUAACACAUGCAAGUCGAACGAUGACGGUGGUGCUUGCACCAUCUGAUUAGUGGCGAACGGGUGAGUAACACGUGAGUAACCUGCCCUCCACUUCGGGAUAACCUCGGGAAAUCGUGGCUAAUACCGGAUAUGAGCACUCAUCGCAUGGUGGGUGCUGGAAAGAUUUAUCGGUGGGGGAUGGACUCGCGGCCUAUCAGUUUGUUGGUGAGGUGAUGGCUCACCAAGACGAUGACGGGUAGCCGGCCUGAGAGGGCGACCGGCCACACUGGGACUGAGACACGGCCCAGACUCCUACGGGAGGCAGCAGUGGGGAAUAUUGCACAAUGGGCGAAAGCCUGAUGCAGCGACGCCGCGUGGGGGAUGACGGCCUUCGGGUUGUAAACCCCUUUCAGUAGGGAAGAAGCGAGAGUGACGGUACCUGCAGAAGAAGCGCCGGCUAACUACGUGCCAGCAGCCGCGGUAAUACGUAGGGCGCAAGCGUUGUCCGGAAUUAUUGGGCGUAAAGAGCUUGUAGGUGGCUUGUCGCGUCUGCCGUGAAAACCCGAGGCUCAACCUCGGGCGUGCGGUGGGUACGGGCAGGCUAGAGUGUGGUAGGGGAGACUGGAACUCCUGGUGUAGCGGUGAAAUGCGCAGAUAUCAGGAAGAACACCGAUGGCGAAGCCAGGUCUCUGGGCCAUUACUGACACUGAGAAGCGAAAGCAUGGGUAGCGAACAGGAUUAGAUACCCUGGUAGUCCAUGCCGUAAACGUUGGGCACUAGGUGUGGGGGACAUUCCACGUUUUCCGCGCCGUAGCUAACGCAUUAAGUGCCCCGCCUGGGGAGUACGG
rnacentral:rRNA from 1 species